AUCCCAGAUAAACGUGUCUCCAGUCACACAGCAGCUCAGACAGAUGACCUCUCAUGACCCCAGUGUCAGCCUAUGCAUUAGCUGACUAACAGACCGUGGCCCCGCGUGUUGAUAUCCCAGAAUUCCCUCUGUUUCCACCUCAGCAGCUUGAAUCCUGGUUUCUGACCUUGAGUUGAUGGAUCUGGGUUAUCUCUCAAGCCUUCAGGUCGUCUGACUGAGGCGCUGCAGCUGUGGAGGAAACUGAAACAAAAACCUUCAAGCAUCAGAUCCAGUAAGUUUUGUUCUCCAGCA